GCCCCGUCCCUCGGCGGGCCGCAGGCGGUCCCGCCACCAGUAGCCGAGCGCGGCCCGGAAAGACCCGGACGGCCGGACUCACCCUGUAAUUAUGAUAGUGCGUCUCCACGAGAUGCCGGUGGCGCGACUUGUCGUGUCCGAAGUUGGAUUUCUCGCAAACCAGAUGCUAUCAAUGCCUGGUGGAAGCCAUCAAGUGGGAACCAACACAAGGCUGAGCUGCCCCCUCCCUGGACUUCCAAUGCUCCAGUGAGGCAGGUCUAGUCACUCCAGGACAACAGCCCCUCCCCGCAGCUGCCUGGAGCCUGUGCUGAUGUCUCAGGAGAGCAGUGGAUCUUCAGGGAGAAUCAGACCUGUUCCCCCAGACAGGGAGCAUCCCUGCCACAUGAGCGCUGGCACGGCAUUGCCCCAAGUGUGCCCGGAGCACUCGUUCUCAAGAUGCUUUAGGUGAAAAGCUGCCCAAACCUUCUGGAAAACCAUGGACUUUACCCCUUUUAAGAUUUGUAAUGGACAUUUGUAUUUUCUGAACCAACUUGAA